GAUGAACGCUGGCGGCGUGCCUAAUACAUGCAAGUCGAGCGAACAGACGAGGAGCUUGCUCCUCUGACGUUAUCGGCGGACGGGUGAGUAACACGUGGAUAACCUACCUAUAAGACUGGGAUAACUUCGGGAAACCGGAGCUAAUACCGGAUAAUAUAUUGAACCGCAUGGUUCAAUAGUGAAAGACGGUUUUGCUGUCACUUAUAGAUGGAUCCGCGCCGCAUUAGCUAGUUGGUAAGGUAACGGCUUACCAAGGCAACGAUGCGUAGCCGACCUGAGAGGGUGAUCGGCAACACUGGAACUGGGAAACGGUCCAGACUCCUACGGGAGGAAGCAGUAGGGAAUCUUCCGCAAUGGGCGAAAGCUUGACGGAGCAACGCCGCGUGAGUGAUGAAGGUCUUCGGAUCGUAAAACUCUGUUAUUAGGGAAGAACAAAUGUGUAAGUAACUAUGCACGUCUUGACGGUACCUAAUCAGAAAGCCACGGCUAACUACGUG
rnacentral:rRNA from 1 species